rnacentral:ncRNA from 2 species
AAUGACAGGCGCGUGAUCGGUUCACCCGGGCGUCAUGCGUCCGGGGAUUAAAAGGGAACGCGGUGCGCCCCGAAGGGGCAAGACCGCGGCUGCCCCCGCAACUGUGAGCGGUGAGCGACGCCGAAGAUGCCACUGGGAGAUCCCGGGAAGGCCGGCCGAGCCGAGACCCGCGAGCCAGGAGACCUGCCGCUCGCCCGCCGGCCCC